GGCGCAAACCUCCCUGCGCGGACAAGUAAUCCAUUUAGUUCUUCAGACAAGAUCUCCAGUGCCAGAUGUAGUAUCUGGCCUUUUGCUUCGGCUUUGAGAAACACUAGUGGAAAACCGCAGACAGCCAAACAAACGCCUGCUGUCUGCACGUCUACGCAGGAGCAUACGCAAGCCGCGCUCUAGGUAAGGCUGACAGUAAUUCAUUGCGGUGCUCUGCCACCUGUUUUUAAACAGCUGUAAUGAAUUGCUCUUGCCUUGAAUUACGAACCAUUUCUUUUGGGUAGACUGGGCCGCUUCUGUAGGAUUCAGCGUCACGCCAAGUGGAAGGGGCAGAGAUGAGAGAAUACCUGUCGGUUUUGGAGGGUGGCCGCUGGACCCUGGGGGCUCCGCUUGCGUUGGUCUCAGCCUGACCCCGCGCAAAUGGAAACCGGUAAACCCGCCCCAUCCUCCUGGAAAAGCACAUUUCCUCCAGCCAAAACCCUGUCAGCAGAUUCUGGCGAGCAGAACAGGGAUUUGACUCCUAUUGAAUCUGAAUUAUUAGACCAGCGCUCAAGCAGCUAUUUUCAUGACAAGCCUUCUGUCGCCUGCAGGGAUCCCUGGAUACAAAUGGUGCCUAAGCGGUGAUCACCUUGCCAGGACAGAGGGACCUUUCCUGGCUGAGCGGUGGAUGUGCAGUGGGAGGGACGGAGUGACGGAGCCCUGCGCUGCUGCCGGGGGAUGCAGGAUAUCCCCUCGCCUCCGGCUUUUGUCCCUUACAGGAAUGCAUGCGGACAGGUCAGUGGAUUGAUAUGUCUGACUUUAACCUGGGCUUGUCUUGGCUUUGAGUAUGUGUCCAUCAAGUCAAACUUGCGGGUAGCCCAGAGUGUGGAAGACCAGCAAAGCAGGAGCCAAGGCUGGGAAGGGCACUCUGCUGUUCUCUAGCACCGACCAGAGCUGCGUAUCAGACAGGAGGUGUUUGCUUAGGGGAAAAUCACAGCUUUCUCCUAAUGAUAUGGAUUUUACUUGCCAGUCAAGACUGAUAGCUGAGAGGGAUGCAAGACUGAGGACCGCUACCUAAAGCAGCUUGGAGGUCCUAGACAAGUGUUCUUCCUAGUUUGCAGAGGUGUUAUUAGUUGUCACCUAGUUUGCAGCCUGUUUGGGGAGACAAUAAUGCUGCUUACGUUUUGACUUUUGAUAGAGGAGGGAGCAGACUGCCUAUCACUUUUUUCCUAGCCCAAAUGAGCUUUCCACGAUUGUGUGAUAAGAAAAAGCAGAUUCUAGACAUUAUCAGAGUUCUUAAACCGGGGUGGAGAGGAGUCACAGAAAAAUAUUUCUGGUUAACUGCCAUGGAUGAGUGCUGUAUUGUCCUGAUUUUAAUAUUUGUUUGUUUGGUUUUUUUUAAGUAGUCAGCCAUUUUCUUCACAAGGCAGUAAAACAUUAUGGCGAUAACUCUGGUGCGUAGCUGAGAGAUGCAGCCACUGUCAGCUCUGUUACAGUCUCAAAAGCUUUUCUUUGUGGUUUUUAAGUUCAGUGAAG
rnacentral:lncRNA from 1 species